UCCGCUCACUUCUGUAAGUCUCUCUGGACAAGAGCGUCUGCUAAAUGACUCACU
rfam:Salmo salar isolate Sally breed double haploid chromosome ssa28, whole genome shotgun sequence.